UUCUUGUUAUUAAGCUUGGGCCUGUUUGCUCUGUUCUCGAUUGCAUUUCACAGCAUUCAGUUGGGAGAUUGCAUUUUCAUGGGGACCCUGGCAUUAUGCCAGUAUCAAACCAUGACAACUUGAAAUUUGAUUUGGAUAAACACUUCAGGAGUUUAAAAAAUGCUUAAUAAAUAGAAUAAAAAAUGGAAAUAAUUAUUAAAAUCCUGAAUAUGUCUGCAUGUAAGUAGAUGUAUUCCCAUUAUCCUUAAAAUAUGGUUUCUGAACGACUAAUAAGCUGUCAUAUGACAAGAAAAUAGACAGAAAAAAAGCUGGUGAAAAAUCUGGUGAAUAAAAAUUCAAGAUGGAUUAUAAGAAAACAUUUUAAAAGAUUAUUAAAUGUCUUAACUAUGGCCUCUUACAGUUAUUCUUAAAAAACAUGUAAUAUCUGGAUUUCUAGUUCAGGGGGUGGGGGCGGUGAAGAGCAGACUUUAGUUCAUCUGACAACAGCAGUAUUUUCAAACCCUAACAGGAAAAUAAAAAAAAACUUCUCAAAUUACAUUAAAUCAUAUCCCUUGGAUGUCCUUUUAUGAAGCAUGGUCAAAAAAGGAACAAAAUACAAAGACCAGCCUGCUUUUUUGGCCAGGUCUGAGAAACUGAAAAUGUUUACUACCAAAGUCCAUGUGUUACACUUAUUACAAGUUAAAAAAAAAUAAAAGGGAAUAAAUUUCCCAGUAUAAUUUAGAAGCAAUGGAUUUUCUUCAAACCUAACUAGUUAAUUUUCAAUAACUUCCUUGCUGUUGCCUGUAUGCAACACAGAUGAUCCAAAAGUGUGUUUAAUUUAUAUCUGAUGAACAUUUUACUACAGUGUAUUUUUAUAAGGAGAGAUCAGAAGCAGCUAUGAAUGGGUAAUCUACCUUUUCUGAUAGAACCUAGGGACAGUAUUACCAGGAAGCAAGUGGUUGUAAAAUCUUUAGGGCCACUCUAGUUUAUUUUUUGAAGAAAACCUUGCUUCUGUUUUGCAGAGGGAAAGAGAUAAAAAAUUUGAGGACUCUCCUGUAACCACAUCAUUACUACAAAGUAAAUGGAGUUUUUUUUCUGCUGGAUGGUAAACUUAUGUUGAGAACAGACAUAGCCAGCAAGAAAAGUCUUGAGAUCAACUCUCAUAUCUCAUCUCAUCUCAUCUCAUCUCAUCUCAUCUCAUCUCAUCUCAUCUCAUCUCAUCUCAUCAUCUCAUCAUCUCUUUCUCUGCAGAGUGAAAUUAGCACAUUGUAACCAGUUUUCAUAAUGGUAUAGGUAAUGUAUAUUAGGUUUAUUUUUCUUCUCUAAGUGACCUUCUAAUCAUUAAAGAUCAGCAGAGCAAAUGUAUGGCUGCCAACUAACAGGACUAGGUUAACCAAACCUGCCAAAGUUCAGGAAGUGUGGAUGACUCUGAGACACAGGGCGUCAUUCUUGGGACUCUUCUGUGCAGGGCCAGGAGCUGGACUUUGAUGGUCCUUAUAGGUCCCUUCCAACUCAGGAUAUUCUAUGAGUUUAAUCUAGGAUUUGAUGCGUAGUAUGUAUGUCCUUUUAUACAGCCCACAGUGCAGGAUGCAGUGAUUACACUUCCAGUUUCACAACACAUCAAAACAAGACUAUAAUGUUACUUCUCACAUGAUAUUAGAUAAUACAACCACUUAAAAAAUACCUUAGUGGUUUCAUAGAACCAAAAGACUUGUGAAAACACCACAUAAGACAAAACAUGUGAGCAAUUGGUUGAAAUUAAGCACCAAUCAUAUAAUAAUUUUAUUGGUAGAGGAGCGAGUAUGUUAGACAUUAACUAUUCCUGACUAAUUUUUGUAUUAUAAAAUUUUACACUGAUCUGAAGUACUACUAAUGUUCCUAUUUAAUAAAAUCUAGCAUUAAAAAUAUCUCAUGAGGGAUUGUAUAAUCGGUGUCAGUCAUUCAUUGUCUGAUACAAUUAUCAAAAUUCAAGGUAAGUUUCAGAAUUUGAAAAACAGCAGAAAAAUAACAUUAGUAAAUUUUUUCCAGGGAUGAGGAAUUCAUAGCCAUUAAAUUUAUCUCUUUAAGUCACACACACAAACAGAAAAAAAAGAACCAAGAAAGAAUUUUGUUUCCUUGUGGAUUAAAACAUUAUUAAUAAAAAUUUAUGAGACACACAAUUUGUAUAAAAAUUAUGUGACUAAGACAGGAAUGAACAUUUUAAAACAAAUCAGUUGGAAUAAAUAGCUUUUAUAAAAUCUCAAAACGGUGUAGGCUGGGAGGACCACUGGAGCUAAUCUAGGACAAGGCAGUUCCAGAAGGCCACCUAGAACUGGUUGUCCAGGACUGCAUCCCCAUGGUCUUUGAAUAUCUCCGAGGAGGAAGAGCCCACAGCUUCCUUGAGCAACCUCAGUCAUCCUCAGAGUUAAAAAGCAUUUACUGAUUGGAGGGACUCUCCCUCUGUUUGUGCUCAUUGCCUCUUGUUCUGACACAGGGCACUACUGAAAAAUGCCUGUCUCUGUAUGCUUUGCACUUUUCAGCCAGGUAUUCAUAGACAUUGAUAAGAUCCCAAAAGAAAUUAGAAAAUUACAUGGGAAAAAUAAUAUAGUACUUAAAAAGAUAAACACAUCUCAGUUUCUUGCUGCAUUGAAGCUAAAUUUAUGGACUAAUUUAAUGGGUUUUUUAUUUUGUUCUGAAAACUUCCUAGAAUAUUCUAUUGCUUCUAACAGUCUUAAAUAUCCUUCUCCCAUACUUAUAAAAUGUGGCUUACAGUAACAAAUCUAGUGUCAACAAAGCAGGUUUUGUGCUAUAUUUCCCAACAGAGCAUCAAGAAAAGACACUCUGCAAUUGAUGAAGUAGAAUGGUCAUGUAUCAUAAAACCAGUUCAUCUGUAAUCCUUCCUACCUUAGCACCCCUGGAAUGAGACUGAAGUCAUUAUACUCAGGCUUUUGUGUGCUGAGAGAUGCAAGAGAGAUAUCUGAGGAGCUCUCCUGAAAACUGCACCAUCCUAUCAGCUCUGGAGAUAGCUUUCCACUCUGUUUUCAUAGGUGUAGAGGAACCCAGACUGAUGGUUAGAAAUCCACCUUUCAGGCAGCUGCAGUAGGUGAAAAGAUUCCCAAGUACAUGCUGACCACUGCAGGCAGAUACAAGAAGGCUUCUGUGUGCUUUCUCAUCUGGUUGGCAGGAAUUGUGAGAGAAGUGAGAGCUGUAAUGAAGACUCAGGCCCAAAGAUCUGCAUCUUUUGUAGUACAAUGACCAGAAGAUGUGCCUCUGGCUCUGGCAAUGUUUGGAUUUCAAGCUCCAGGAAACCUUCUUCCUCUGUUACCCUGCCUCUGCCUUGAUGAAAGAGAACAAACAGCUGAAUAUUACUCCCAAUAAAUCAGGACCUAAAAGGAAACCCUAAAAAUAACUUCAGAUAUUCUGCAGAAGUAAGGAACCAGACAUAAAAGCAGAAGAGGCAUCAAAAAAACUCAAGACUGUACAGAGCCCAUGGUGUCACACUUAUGACAAUGGUGAGAAGAUUUGGUCGAGUUGUUAGAGCCUUGUGGUCCCUACCUUGCAAAGAGCUCUGAAUGUGCCAUUCUAAUCACACUACAGACUCUUCCCAUGAUCAUAAGGAAGAAAAAUAAUAUCCAGAUUUCCCAUGAAUGUUUUUAUAACAAAAUGAGAGGUUAGAGUCUUUGGUUAGGUUUGUGCUCCAUGUAUUAAGGAAUAACCGUGUCAGCUACCAGUACUUUUUCCAUAGAAUGAAGUUAAUGAGUUUCCACAAAAUGAAUACAGUGUAUGGUAAUCAGACUGUGGUACUGCCAGCCUGUGAAUGUUCUGUUCCAUGUCCUUUGUUCACAUCACACUCUCUACCCACACUGUGCCUUGGGAGUCUACCUAUCUGUAAAGGGAGGACUUUACUUGGAGGACUUUACUUUAAAGGGACUCUUUACUUUGGUGCUCCUUGCACCGUCACAAUCACAAAAUAAGUGAAUGGUCAUUAUUCAUGAACAUCCACACAUACCUCUUGUGAUAUGCCAUGCUCUAACAAUUAGACAAUUAGUCAGUUAAAAGGAAUGUCCAUGCUAAUGUAAACUUUGAAAAAAAUCAGACUGGUUCAUUAACUUGAUUGUUUACUACACCAGGGCUCACACCUGUGAGCCCUUACCUACAAAAUGGAAUUGUCCUCUCUCAUCAACUAUGAUUCUUAUUUGAUUAUUUUAUAUUCUUUUAUUUUAUUUUUUUCCCAAAGAUCAGAACUUGUCAUUCCUGCUGCUUCAUUAUUUUUUCUCUUAGGAAACUAUUUUUGCUAUUUUUCAUAGUCAUUAGUUUUCAUUAUUCUUACUUUCCUAGAACCAUUGGAAAUGGACUGCUUGCCAUUUUUUCUACUCCUUUGCUAGGUAAAAGCAAUUGGCUGAGGAUGAUAAUUAGACAAUUGCAACUGGGCUGUCAACAUUUUAAAAUAUAUAGGAUCCAGUGCAAUAUGUAAUACAAAAUGCAAUAGUAAAGGGAAUAUUUAUGCACAUGCCAAGAUUGUAUCAAAGGAUGUGCUUUUUUGAGAUUGUGAUGAAUUUUUUCAAACAAUUGUUUCACAAUAUAAAGAAAAAUUAAAGGAAGUAAAGUUAAACACUGUCUUUCUUUGAAUACAUAUAGAAUAAAAUUUUAUGAUAUUGAGUAAAUUUAUAUUUCCCUACAGAAUUUUCAUGUUUAUGGCUAUAAAGAUAUAUUUCUCAUGCAAUAAUACACUUUGAAAAAUAAUGAGGUCCUCUGAUCAUUUUCCUCCUUAUUACUGGAUAGCACUUCCAGCACUAUGCAAGCACAGUUGGCUACCCAGGGACCCUGAUGCCAAGUUGCGGAGGAUAUUCUUGUAGCAGUGACAAAUAGCUUGCUGGUGGGCUGUGCAGAGUGUUGUUCUGGCAGCAGUGAAGUUGUCUAUGUGUCUGUCACUUGGUUAGGCUACAGAAAGUCUAGGUAGUUUCAUUUUUUUUUUUCUGCCUUUGGAGAACUUUGUUUUAAACUUGCAUGUGUUUCUGGUGAAUUAGUUCAUUUGACAGCAAGGUUCUUAACAGACCCCUCAGCAGUGUUACAUGUGAGUACCUAUAUGAUGAAAGAGAGAAAAAAUCUUCACAGUGCCAUACUUGUUUUCCAUACAAACCUACAUGCUGCCAUUACAGCCACCCACAUAUCAUUUGACAACUCACUUAUGCAUCAAGCAUCUUAAUGAAUCAAGACUGAACUACACAAUGUCCUCAUAUAAAGCCAUGUAUUUCAAAUGUUAUUCUGAAUGUAUGCCUUUCUAGUGAAAAAUUUGGGUAGAUUGUGUGAUCUGUAAACAAAAAUUUGUGUACGGGUUCUGUUUUGCUGCUCAUAAUUCUCCUAUUGAAAGAAUCCUAUGUUGUUGAUUUAAAUUUAAAAAUACAAUGACUAAAGUCAGCUGACUACCAAAAACACAGUAACUCUUAGUAGAUAAAUUAGCUUGUAGACCUAUACAGACAAUCCCUACAGUGUUUUUUGACUGCCUAAGAAAGUAUAUAAUUUAAAGCUUCUUGAUAAUUUAUGGGUAAAAUGCAAAGUAGCUGACACUGUUGGCUAAAAAGUGAAUGCUCCUCCCAUUGUACUUCUGAGUUUAUAAUUAAGGGUAAAUGUAAAAUUUAAACAAAAAACAAAACAACAAACAUAUUAGGUAUUGUAUUUAGAAACAGGAAACAAAGGCAUCAAUAUUUGUAUAUAGAUGGAGGUAUAAUUUAAGAUCUUUGGAAGGGUAACAAAUCUACUAUAUAAUAACUCUGCUGAAUGAUGUAAGCCUAGACUAAGUAAAAGGAAGUAAACGUUCUUUUUAUGAAAGUCAAUAUACAUUGGCAGUGUUUUAAAAGGACCUAACGGGCUUUUAAUCUUAUAAAGAAAAAAAAAAAGUUUAUUUUUGUUCUUUCUGUGUAUAUAGAUGCAUUUGCUGAUUUGAUUAUCCAUAUUGGUAGAUCAGGUUAAAUGUACUUUGAGAAAGACUUACAUUCUUUAGUAUGUCUCUGUACUGAUUUUGCACUCACAAAAAAUAUAUUUUUUUAAAUUACCAAUAUAAAAAAGCAAAAAAAAAAAUCUGCUGCUGGUAAUUAGAAAAAUAAUCAAAGAACUCCAAGUAUAAGUACUUGGAAGAGAUGUUGAAAGGUAUUUUAACAUUGUAAAUUAAGGGUACGGAGAGGAAAUUUCAGCUAAAAGUGAUGUUUGAGUUAGUUUGUUUUCAUUGUGUCCAGUGAUAGUACUUAAGUCAGCCUCCUAGACUACAUGGGUAUUGCUAAACUAAACUCAUCAAAUUUGCAACUACAGCUUUGCCAGAAACAUUUUGAAAAGAGCCGACAGCAGAGAUUUUCUAGCUUUCAUCACUUAGAAGCACAGAGUGAGGCUAUUGAUCUUAAAAUUGCUGGGAUUUUCGAAGGAGUCUGCUUGUUUGUUCUGUGCUGUUGUCACUGAAGUGGUUAAAGCUUUGUUUGUUUGUUUUGGUUCUGAAUGGCUCUUAAUGGAUUAAGCUUUCCAGCUUUCACCAAAGCUGAAACUGUUUAUUAAAGUAUCAAGAUAUAAACUAACCUCUGGGAAUUUUAACAAACUAUAUAGGGCCGUGGAGCCCUAAUGACGUAUCCCUGUGGAUACUUUUGAAGGCUUUGAUGUGUUUGUUUUUCCGACUUAUACCAUACCGAAUUAAUUUAGUUGUUUUGGGGAAAACAAAUCUACGUGAAGUUGGAUAUUAUAAUGAAAUAAGGAGUAUUUUCCCUCACAGAUUUGAUGUACAGAUUUGAAGCUCUGCUUCAUCAAAUCAUAACCAUGUGCACAGAAUACUGUAAUGAAAUAUUUAGAGUGUUUUAUUGGCACUAAAUAUUUUAUUAUUUCAGAUAUUUACAAAAAUUAUGAAGAAAACCCUUCCAUCAUAUUUAACCAAUAGAUGAGACAUAUAUUCUAAUAAAUGACUGGUCUGGACAUGGAUAGAGAUAUGCUAGAAUCUAUAAGAUUAAUCUCAAAUAUAUUACAGAAUACAUUAGGCUUGUAAUUUCUAAAAUCAGAUUUAACCAAGUUUUCAAGAGGAAGGUUUAAAAUCUUAUCUUAGAGUAACCCAGUAAACUAUUGGACACAGAACUGGUAGAAAAUAUAAUUCACAAAUUGACUGGGUAUGGUAGACUAAGCAAAAUCCUUUAAUUUCCAAAUUUCAACAGAUCCACAUUUUUCUUGUGAUACCAAGCAUCAUCCUCAUAUCAGUGUCAGAAACACAUUACCUUACUCUCCAGGAAGGGCUUCAAAGUCCUUAAGAAAAAUAAAAGAAAUAUUAAAAUCCAAUUAGUGUUUUUCUUCAGGUGGAAAUAUUUAGCUGUAUAUUAAUCCUUUAAUAAAUAAUGUUCUAAAACAGAAAUCAAUAAAUAAUAUUUACCAAUAACUGUAAGUGGCAGUUUUUGGAUACAUACAUGUGUCUCACCAAAGCAUUGGAGUUCUGGAGGAAAACCUCAAAAGUCCUCUUACUAACUAGUGUUAAUUGAAUUUUAAAAAAGAGUAUGGAAGGCUGGCAGAAGCAAAAGUGCUUUUGAGUGAGACUAUAUCUGAAGAGCCAUAGAUUUAAAGUAAGGUUAGGAAUGUUUUUAUGAUGUCUCUGUUACUUUUGAAAAACACAACUUGUUGGACAAGCAAUUAUCAUUGUAAUAUUUCAUAUCCUAAUGAUAUACUAAUGUUAGGAGACACUUCUUGAUGUGCAAUAUACUGAUGUUGCACAAUUUUUUUUCUUGUAUGGUAGUGUGGAAAGAAAAAAUAUUUACUCCUCAGCAUUUUCACUCAGGUUACAUUAUAGGGAUUAUUGCUCCAAGUUCUCAGUAAGAACUUUGGAAACAUUAAAGGCAGCUUUUCUUCAUUUAAGCACUUUUUUUUUUUCCCUGAUAGAUAAGACAUAUGAACAGCAUCAGGAAAUGCCACUGUUUUUCUGUUUACUAUGAAAAGGCCAUUUACUACAGGUACCCCUUUGUAACCACUUUUGGAAGAAAAGUCUGGCAGUAUUAAAGCAAACUGUAUUAUGUAAUUUAUGAAAAAUGCAUACACUGAAACAUUCAUAAAUAAUUACAAGAGUCAUGCAGUAAUUAGUAAAAGAGCCUUCAACAGCUGACGACUCUAAUAAACUUAUAUGCUAUGUGAACCAUCACACAGGGCUUAUAUAACAUUGAAUGGGUUACAUACCAUAAAAAGCACCAGGAAUUGGAAGAAAUCAGCUUUGACCUAAAGUUUUGUGUAUGUUCUUCUUGAAACAGUCUGAUUCCAGUGAAAAAAACAGAAAUACAGUUACAGAACUGGAGCUGGAAUGGGACAUCAGAGUAUCAGAAAAGACACUUUUUCACAAUCAGCUGAGAAAAGAAACCAUUUAUCCUUCAGAGUCAACAGAAGCUACAUGUCAUUCCCUGGUAGGAUGAAUCCUUACAAACAGUUUGACAUUCUGGGAAAUACCACCAGUGUCAGCUGUUAUGCUGCUAAGAGAACACAGGUGGAGGAAAUGUGGAUGCAAACGAUGUUAAAUUGCAGUUACCUUUUCAACUGCAUUUAAAGUAAAAAUUGAGUCAAGAUAAUUUUUUUAGUACAUAGAAUGUUACUGAUAGUAAUAUGCCAAACUCACAACUAUGCUGUAAAUAAGGUACCUACUUCUAUUACUAUCAAGCUGAAGUAAUGCAUUUAUGUGAUAGAAAAUUUUCCAGGAUAUAGGAUUGCAUUCAAUAUUUAAAGUUUACUUCUGUCAUUCUAACUCCUGUUCCCUCUCCUGUACAUGGCAGAUAUAUCACAGGGUGAGGAAUUUCUAAGUGAUAUGCAAGUGCUCUUCUUCAUACACAUAUAUUCAGUAUUUAUUCAGAUAUACAUCUGUGCAAGAUUAUUUGUGCCUAUUUUCAGAUUUUAGCACUUGCACAUGUUAUGCUCAUAAGUGUGGAAAAAGAGCAAAAAGAGCUUGAGAAACAUGAGACCUUCUACAUUGAUUCAGAAGAAAAUAAUGAGCUCCUUCUCUGCACUUUUUUGCUACUUUAAAAGGUUCUCACUUUCUGGUAGAGAGCUGAGUUGAGAGCUUAGAAUCCUCAUCUCUACCAGCUCAGUUGUCUUCUGAACUUUCCCACUGCAUUAGUGCAACAGUGGAAAAUAAACGUGGAUAAGUCCUUCAGCAAAAUAUCAGAUUAUAACAGUCUUGAUCCUGUGCCCUUCUGAUCUAUGUUAUGUCCUUGUCUACAACUCCUUGGCCUUAGUAGAUGCGAUCUUCUGUUUAAAACUUCCACAGCAAAGCUACUUUAAAUUCUUAAUUAUUUGGGAUGGAGUUGAAAUCAGCAGAUGCAAUGAAUGAAAGUUAAGUAAUAAUAUGUAGGAAUUCAGAUCACACCAUAUAAUACAGAAAACUUCAUUUGAAAUAUUCAUGACAAAGUUGUAAAGUCCUGGUUUUCAGCUUUUAUAUAAACUUGAAAGGUGAAAACCUAUGCUUCUGGAAAACCAAGUAAACAAUUUAAUGACUGAGGCUAGGAGGGUGUUUGCUUUAUUAUGCAUAUGCCUGGUUUUCAGUUGACUAUUCAAGCUGCAAAAUGUUGCAGUCUUAGGUGCUGCACUGAGAGCUAAAUGCUUCUUCCCUGUUUUCUCAAUUUAACAACAUAUUCAAAUUUCUGGGAGACAAAAAGCCAAACAAAUAAAUCCAGGAACAGGCCUCUCUUGAAACAGACUUCCCAGACUAGUGUAUAUGAUGAGGGAGUUGGAUUCUAAUUUGGUAGGUAAGCAAAGAAUCUUUUCUUCAAGGCUGUGUAAUAUAUUACUGAUAUCCAGUCAAGAUACUUGAGUUGUUUCUCCCCUAAGAAAGCUGUCAGUGUUCAUGUAAGCUAUAUCCAUGUUACUAUUACAACAUCUGUCAUACUUGCUGGAAAAAAUCCCCUUAUACGCUGCUAGACUUCUCUGUUUUAUUUUGCUUUUCUAUCUAAUCUAUUGCAGUCAAUCAUGCAGCAGUUGCUUAUCUUAUGAUUCUAAAAGUUGUCACAAGUUCUAUUUGGUUUACUUUGCUUGCUUAGCAUAUUCAAGGAUAGCAUUACUCUGGAAAAUAAAGUGCAUAACAAUCUUGAUCAUAUGGCAUGUAAUUUUCUGAGAUCAAUAUCCUGUUUCUUACUAGGGAUACCAAACAUCCCUAAAGACUUAUUAGUUUCUUAUAUGAUAGAAUUACUGAUUUAUUUUGUUAAUCAUGAGACUUGGGACACACAUGAGAGAGAGAAGACUCAAAAUGAGAAACCAUAUUUCACCAGUAUAUAGGUAGGAAGCCAGUGAAUACUCCUUUCCCAAUCACCAUCACUUUCUUUUCAUCAUAGAAUUUUAAUUGCAGCAGGAAGAGAAUACAGUGGAAGCUGUGCAAAGAUACAUUUUUUUUUAGUUCUGGUGAUUGACAGCUAUAUGCAGGCAAGAUCUCUUGUCGCCAUCCAGGCCCUGAAAGGAACAGGGCAUUCAUUUUAUCCAAGUCUAUGAUGUUAGUAGACCAGGCACUAGGUUUCCACUGAGGUCAGUGCAGAGUGACAGAGUCCUUCAGAUGCCACAUCAGAAGACAGAAGUUAAACUCCUGUGCUGGGUGUUCACUAAAAGAAUCACUUCCAUUCAGCUCCCUAGUUGAAAUGUGCCAAGAAAUGUAGGAAAAAAUGAGAAAAGUAAAUAACAUUCCCUAAUACUAGUGUAAUGGAUAGUGUAAACCUACUAAAUGCAGUUAAUCUAGCAUCUCCUAGUAGCAGUUGUUAAAUUAUUACUAACUUUUCCCAUUAGUAAUCCCUAUGCCUUAUAUCAAAAAGAUCAUGAAGAAACUGCAAAUCCUUACUACUUGGCAGAAUCAUUCAAAGUAAAUAUUAUGCAAUUGCUAAUUAAAGCCCAUAGCCUGGCCAGACCUUUGGUCUACACAGAUAUGCAGUUCUAACAUUAUUUAGUCAAUAAGGUGGGAUGCUGGGGCAUCAAGCCUGCUGGUAGAAUUUCAAAAGGCCCUCAAGGAGGCAGUACGAGUCAAUUGGCUUCUGAAUGUAAUUCACAAACAGGGAAAUAAGAAUUAGGAGAAGGGAAAUGUUACUCUUCUCAUCCUUCAUCUGCUCAUGCAUGUCUUCUGGUUAUCCGUAUAGGCUAGCUAAUACAGAAGUCAUUUCCUCUCUAUCCUUUGACUGGCCCCUGCUCUGAUCACAAUGUAUGCAAUAUUUUCCACUAAGAAGGGAUGGGAGAACUGAGCUUUUGCUUAGCUGCCAAUAGAAUAUUCCAUGUACAACAGAAGAAACACAAGAUAAGGGAAGAUGAGGAAAUUUUACCUUUGAGUAAAAGAUUCAAAAUCAGCAGAGAUAUACCAGUUGUUGAGACAGUUUUGUCCUGGUACUGAAGGCAUAAACUGGAAAUUUUGUGAGUUUCAGUUUAUUAGUUCAGAUCUUCAGUGAAAUGCAUGUGAGGUUUUUGUUUGUAAAGCCAUCUGAUCAUCAGUUCAUGUCUAUGCAUAUAUAGCUGUUGAUUUCUUUGUUAGUUUUCUGAAAAAACUAAUAAAAAAACCUGACAAAGGAAUGUUUUUAUGAACAUUAAACAACUAGUGUAAUUUAUGUAUAGGAAAGUAUCUCUGGUGUUCAUCCUAUAUUUUUUCAAUAUGCUAUUCCUAAUAGAUCAAGUAUAACUUUAAUUGUGUCACCGUAUAAGCAUAACUUUAGCUAUAUAAUUAUGUUUCAGUCCAUGACUUUAAUAUUUUCCAAUGGCUAUUCUUCUGUGACUUUAGACAUUGCUGGCUCUGGUCUGUGGUUAAAGAGUUCCAUAUAAGCUUGUUGUUGCCUUUUAAUUUUGUGGCCUUGAGCCCCUGACCUAAGAUUAUUUUUGGUGUUCACCAGAUUGAGAUUAAAUAGACCAAGCACUUGUACAUAGCACCCAGACCCUGACUUUAAAUAUGCAAAAUUAAUUGGCUACUGGCUAUCACAUUGUUAUGACCACACAGUAUCGCCCAAGGAGAGUGAGCAGCAAAAAAAAUAAAACACAUUUUAUAAGCACUCAUCUGUGUCUAACUGCUUCCUUUUCUACUGCAGGGUUUCCCUUUGUAUUAUUAUUAUUAAAAUAGAUUAUUUCUUUGACUUUAUAUCAUCACAAUAAAACUUGAUUACAUACAUUGGCUCUCAGAAAACAACUAUAGGCCAUCAUAGGCACCUCAAGCCAUUUGUUCUUCACCAUGGAGAGGGAUAGUUUAAAGACUUGUUUCUGCCAAGUUUUUUUCACCCCUCUGCCCUCCCCACCCCCAUUUUCACCCUUUCGAAGUAUUUUCACAGCAAAGCAAAAACACUGGGAUAUAAUAUAAAAUAAAAAUAGAAGCUAUAUAAGGUUUGCAUUUUAUAGCUGUAUUUGACUACAUUUCAAAUGAAUGUUUGUUAAACAGGGGGAAAAAUCAGACUAGCAUUGUCAUGAUUCUAAGAGAACUAGGUGAUGCAAGAACAGGAAGAAUCUGAGUAGCUUGCAUUUAAUUAGCACUUACUGGUACAAAAUAAAUUAGACAGAUUUGUCUUGUUUUAUGAGCAAGAUCCUGUUUUUCUAUUUCGUUUUCUUUGUGCUUUUGGUAAGGACAGAUCUGGCUCUUUGGAUACUAAAUAGGCAACUAAUUCAAUUGGUGCUUUCUCCUAGGGUCUGCUUGCAAACCAGUGCCAGGCUCACAGGCUCUUUGUGUACUGCCCUCCCUGCAUGUGUCUGUGCUCCCCUGGCUAGUCAGUUUUUUGUCUGUGAUGGUUAAUAAGCUUUGAGCCUAGUAGUCAAAUGUGGUGGGAACGGGGACAAGACGAGGGUCCUUAGUGAAGGUGUUUGUUGUUAAAUAGAACAAUUCAGCUGUCUCUUUAGAAAACUUGACAAAAGGAAAUGCUCCCUGCUGAAAAUUUUCUUAGCCUGUUGCACAAAAGAUGAAGUUUGUUUAAGAAAUUGCUGCUAAAGAAAGCGUCAACCCAUUAAGGUAAUUAUAUGGAACCUGUGCCGUAUAACAGCUUAAUUGAUGUUAAUGUUUGUCUAAUUGGUGAUUGGGAGAGUGCAAAGGACUAAAGGUCUUCAUAGCACUUUCAGUCACGGCUCUGAAAGGAGUUCUUCUGGUUUUCACAGUUAUAACAAUGCCUGCGCGUCUUUCUCAGAUUACGCCUUGUUUUCAGCCCCUUACAGCAUUCUGCUCCACUACUUAAAGCGUAAAAUAAGGGUGAAGAGCCAUUGUCUAAUGCAGCCUUUUUCAAAGAGUGUUUCUGACAGGGAUUGUUCUAGGAAUCAGGCAGGAGAGAAGGGAGUGUGAGAGGUGAAAGCCACUAUCACCCACUUGUGUCACAUCCCCAAUGAGCGGCAAGAGCCGCCUAAUUGCUGCGUGAGGAUUUUUUUUUACCUCCAAAUGCCCAUUCUCUUAAACAAGAUCCUUGCACCAGUGCCACAUGUUCCUGAGGAAUCUAUCAAACAAAACAUAACAAAAAACCCACCCCAACCUUGCUGACAUUUUAAAAAAUUGGCAUAAAAAGAACUGUUACGGAAACUUAUGUAACUCACUAAAAACCAAAAAAAAA